rnacentral:rRNA from 1 species
CUGACGGAGCAACGCCGCGUGAACGAUGAAGGUCUUCGGAUCGUAAAGUUCUGUUGUCAGGGAAGAACAAGUACCGUGCGAAUAGAGCGGUACCUUGACGGUACCUGACGAGGAAGCCCCGGCUAACUACGUGCCAGCAGCCGCGGUAAUACGUAGGGGGCAAGCGUUGUCCGGAAUUAUUGGGCGUAAAGCGCGCGCAGGCGGUUCCUUAAGUCUGAUGUGAAAGCCCACGGCUCAACCGUGGAGGGUCAUUGGAAACUGGGGAACUUGAGGACAGAAGAGGAGAGUGGAAUUCCACGUGUAGCGGUGAAAUGCGUAGAUAUGUGGAGGAACACCAGUGGCGAAGGCGACUCUCUGGUCUGUUUCUGACGCUGAGGUGCGAAAGCGUGGGUAGCAAACAGGAUUAGAUACCCUGGUAGUCCACGCCGUAAACGAUGAGUGCUAGGUGUUAGGGGGCUUCCACCCCUUAGUGCUGAAGUUAACGCAUUAAGCACUCCGC